rnacentral:pre_miRNA from 1 species
GUCCUGCUCCCUCCGUUCAGAAUUACUCGUUCAAAAAAUGAAUGUAUCUAGAUGUAUUUUAGUUGUAGAUACAUCCACUUUUGUGACAAGUAAUUUCGAACGGAGGGAGUAUUUG